GAAAAAGAAAAAGAAAAAGAAAAAGAAAAAGAAAAAGAAAAAGAAAAAGAAAAAGAAAAAGAAAAAGAAAAAGAAAAAGAAAAAGAAAAAGAAAAAGAAAAAGAAAAAGAAAAAGAAAAAGAAACCUUCUAGGAAUAAAAGUACAAAAUGCCCACCAAGACGACAGCAAAACAAACCACUGGCGUGGAGCUCAUCUGACCUAAUGGGACGCCACUGAGGCUGGACAGCUCCUUCUUGCCUCCCAGCACAGGAGGACACAGCAACAUGGAGCAGAAACUACCAAAUACACCAACUUGCUUUUAGCAGACUCUUAACCCCACUUACUCCCACUGACUUCAAUUACUUUGGUUUUAAUUUACACUGGAAAUGGACUGCGAGGGAUCAUGCACUACUUCAUGCAGCAGGGACCUCCACUUUUACUUGUGUCAAGCCCUAUUCCACAAAGCCUCUGCUGGCAGCACGUAUGGAUUGCUUUCCUAUUCUGUUAGGAGGUCACACUGCCUCAGCACUUGAUUGCCCUUUUUUACCAAGUAAUAUUUUCAGAGAGGGACUCAUAAGUCACUCUUUUUGCAAUCUUCUCUAGUGUCACUGGCUAGUCUUACACCAGGAUCUUUUUAAUUAACUGCUCACUAGUAAUUAUUCAGCCACAUUUAAAGUGUGAAUUAGAUGUACCAGGCCUCUGUGUACUUCCUGCACACUCUCCCUCUCCCACUCGCAGUUGUUCUUCUCCUGUACCUAUACCCAGGUACAUAAGAUCACAGAAGAUUUUGCCCAGGCUCCCUCCUUGGAGAUGCUCAGAAGCCACCCGGGCAACUGGCUCAGCAGAUAGGCAAGGUGAUGUCCAAGGGCCCCUUCCAACCUCAACUGUUCUGUGAUUUCAAAUUCUUGGAUGAAAGCUAGCACUGAGACACAUUUUGUUAUUAUAAAUGAUAACACUUCAUUGGAGAUGCUGAAUACAUUUAGUUUUAAAAGGCAUCUCUACCUCAAUAAUCCUUAAAAAAAUAAAGGAUGCUUCAUAGCAAGAACAACUAUCAGCCUGAAUUCAAAAGUGAACUGAUUCAUUAAAAUCUGGAUGGCAUGCAAUAAAACACCUAUAGAAGCCAUAUUACUGAUGUGCUGUAAAUGCUAUUCAGUUUCUGCAAGAAUAAUGUACACUUACUAGACAGACAUCAAGGCAAUUGCCCAUGAUACAAUGUUAAAAAAAAUAGAUUGUAUGGUUUGCAGUAGCAUCAAGUCUCUAUUCAAGUGUAAAAAAAUUAAUUGACUCCAUCUGUAUUGGCCUAAUGACUGAUUAAAUGACUAAUCACGGAAGUCUUAAUUAAAAUCAUUUUUCUGUACAGCAGAAGAUGGAGGGAGGAAGGCAUUCAUUAAUGUGUUAUAAUGUAUGUCAGAUUCCAUUUGUGCCAUUUACUAACAGCCAUCAAAUGAGUAAUUAUGCACAAGGUCAUUCUGUAAACUUUCUGCAUACAUCAGGCUGAUUGGAUUAGGGCUUGGUGCUUGGCUAGGUUCUGCAUGUGGCUGCAUUUUUCCAUCACAAAAUAGGUAAUUAAUAUUGCUUAGAAUAAGUAAUGAAAGAAGUUGACAUUUCCUCUUCCAUCUUCCCACCAGCCAAUCCAGUGUAAGAUUAAUACACAACUUUCAUGUAUUGUUGGGUAAAGUCCCAUACCUCAUGCACUAAAUCAAGCCCAUCCUCCUCAGCGGACUGUUUAAUAUCCUUCAUGAAUUGUCAGGGAACUCCAUCACACGAUGAAAUUCUUUAAUAUGCAAGGAAUUUUUCCUGCAUGAAUCAAAUGACCAGGCAAUUAGAAGAAAAGAAUCCUCUAAGUAAAUGAAGAUAUUACCAUAAAAUUAAAAGAUUUAAAAUUUUAUUUGCCACCCACUUGACGACCCUGAUGCCUGGUAACCCUUGCUAUCAAAAAAAAUACCAAGCUUGUUCUACCUCAAUAGCUGAGAUCAAUCUAUUUAAAAAAAAAAUAUUUAAAAAAACGAAAUAGAAGUAUAUCUCAAGCAUUAGCUAGAACAACUUUCCACUUGCGUGCAACUUAUAUGUAGGAUCUAUGCUUUUUAAUGAAAUGGCAUAUCAUAUGUGUCCAUGGUAUAAGUUGUAACACGAAUACUUGGCUGACUGCUACCCUGAAUUUUCUAGGAAGUCUUCUGUAAAGCCGCAGUAAGUCUGCCAUAUCAGUAGUUAAAUAACUACUACAGCUACAUACAAAUUGCAAGCAAAUACAAAUUUAAUUUAGUUUGAAUUAAUUAAAACUAGUCAAACUUGACCCCACUUACCACAAAACUGUAGAAAACAAAAAUACAUGACAACAAAUUUCUGCAUGCUGAAACUGCCAGUGUCACAUAUGAAAGAAGUUAAUUUUACUAAUAAACAAAGGGAAUGGAACCAAGUAACAGACUUAGAACUAAAUUCAGAGUUUUAAGGUGGCUCUCAAGGCUUAAAACCAGCACUGGGACUCAAAAGUGUGCCAUGCUCCAUGCUUCAAGAGAAUCAAUGAAUCUUAGGUUCAUCUUCAUUUGAAGAUGGACACAUCUAAAACAACAAAACGAACCACCACCAAACUGGAGAGCUCCAAACACAACAACAUACAUAUGGCAGAGUAAAUCUGUCAAAACCUGAAGAUAUUUUUAUGGAGUAAUUCAACACAAUCUGCACUACUCUGCUAAUGCAAAUGAAAACUUUUGCACAACUACCUAAAUUACAGGGUGGUGUGCCAUUCUUAAUCUUCACAGAAAUGUAGGAGUUCCUGUUUCAAUCAUUUCUAUUGUUUGAAAUAUACUAGAUGAUAACGGAGGGGCUGCCACUGUAUGCAGAGACUGACUUCUAUAUGAAGCUAAUUAAUGACAAUUUACGACUUACUGUAGGCUUGAAGGAAUUACUAGAUAAUGGUGAAGAUCAAAGUGCAAGACAGCUGCAAGUACAUUAAAUGACCUGUCUGAAAUUUCAGCAUUGUCUUUUUUCUGCAUGCGUUGAUUAUGUAGCUUAUUCGUUAUCUUUGGUUGUAUAAAUAUUUAAAACAAAGCCAAGCAUUUCAAAUACCUUAAGUGGACCCCCUUAUCAGCACACACAUACACGUAGCAGUACAGUAUAAAAUGACAACUACACUUGACUGAAGGACAGCCUUCUCUCUCUCAGCUUUUCACAGAGAAGUUUUAUUUCUUCAAGUAUUUAAGAAAAAAAAGUAUCUUAUGGCCACAGACAGGCAAUGGGUAUUACAGGGAAUGGAAAUUUCUAUCUCCAAAGGACACUUAACGGGGUGAAAAAAAAUAGUUUCAUAUUAAUAAGUCAGAAUGCAGCUCCGAAAAAAAGAUAAAAGGAAAAAAAUAAAAAAACAGCAGUCUGUGCUCAAUUCCCUGGCCACAUUGCAAAAAAGGAGGGAGACAGUUGCUGCUUACCUUGAGUGUUUUUGAAAGUGCUGUAAACAGGUAUCUAUGUUUUCUGUUAUUAGCCAGUGCACUUUGUCAUGUCCAUUUUGACAUCAACUCAACUCUCAUAUCUGUUCAAGUUUAAAAAAACAAAACACCUUGUCUGCUGCAGAGAUGCUAUUGCAAAUCACGUUGGGACCAACCCUGAUUAGAUGCUGAAAUCACUACAUCUGUUCAUGUGACUAACAGCAAUUCCAUUAUCAUUAUUUUAUCCUUUGCUAUUAGAUGAACUAGUGAAAAUGCUGGAGAAUUGCUCAUCAUGGCAGAUUUGAUCAUCACUAUUUCAAAAAGCCUGCAACCUUUUGUAUAGUAAAUAAAUGAAAGCAAACACUGCAAAAGUUAUCAAUAAGCAGGCUACAGUAAAUGUCUCUUCCACCAAAACCCAAAUAACAGGAAAGGUAAAUAAUAUCUCCCUCUUGCUGUUUACAACUGUCAUCCAUUUCAGAGGACAUCUCCACACUCAUUUUGUUGGUUAAGAAAUGCAAAUUAGAUAUCCCCUAUUCUUCUGUUUGUUUUGUACACUGAGCAUAAUUUCUGCAUGAAUGUCCAACUGUUUCCAUCUUCUUUGUGUCACAGAAACCUCAUUUACCAGUCAUUCUUCUCCAUAUGAAAAGAUCUAUAAUGAGGAGUCUUUCUGUCAUUGCCCUACUCCUCUGAGUCAGGAAUUUUUAUUUCCCCCCUAAUACUUGCUGCUGUAGCUGCAAUUUCAUUUAUUGUUGUCUCAUACCACAGCCUUAAUGCAAGAACAUCUGUGGCUGGAUCAUGGAAAAGAUUCAGUAUUGCUUUCAGAGUUGCGUAUCGAUUCAGUGGUUAUGAGAAACCAGACUUUUGAUGUAUGUUUUCAAAUUAUUCUUGUAAGACGGAUGGUUUAUUCACUGCACUUGAAAUGACAGUUUAUUUUUAGGUAUUCAAAUAUUUUUCCAGUUAGCCGCCUAACAGAAGUAUCCUUAUGAGAACACUGAACAUAAAAAGUAAGACUGGGUCUAUCUGCAUAUGCUUUCUUCCUAGAAAAUAAUUGAAAAGGCAUACAAUCGUCCAAAAACUAAAAAUAUAUUUUAAUUCACAUCUAAGCAGCAUCAUGAAAUAAAUUGCUUUUUGUUUUGAAGAAAUGACACAGUUCAGAAAAAAUAUUUCUACUGCUUUCUUCCUUUUAGCACAUGUAUGAAGCAAUUUACAUAUGCACAUGCAUUUAUGUUUAGCUUCAGUGCAACUCCAGAAAUCAAGCAUAUCAGGAUAGGUCAUCUUAACCUCAGAAAGCAGAUGUCAUGUUUGCUUUGUUAAAAGCUCUAGAAUUUGUAAAUCAGUAUCCUGACAUUCAUAAGUUCUCCUGGUCUUUCUGGCUUUUCAACACCGCCUUCACGUUUCAGGACCUCCUGCUAUGACUUUAGUUGCCUGUCUUUCCAGUUAGGUAUCUUUAAGCAGUGUAAUGACAGCAACAGAAAGAAAAGCAGACUGCAAAACCAAGCUGAAAAACUAAGUAGUAGAUCUGAGCAACUAUUUUAGAGGUACAGUAAAACUUCCCACAACUACUUUAUUUGGAAGCAGGAAGAAAAAAAAAAAAAAAAAAAAAAAAAA